GUAAGGAAUAUUGGACAAUGGGCGCAAGCCUGAUCCAGCCAUGCCGCGUGCAGGAAGACGCAUCUAUGGUGUGUAAACUGCUUUUGUACGGGAAGAAACACUCCCUCGUGAGGGAGCUUGACGGUACCGUAAGAAUAAGGAUCGGCUAACUCCGUGCCAGCAGCCGCGGUAAUACGGAGGAUCCAAGCGUUAUCCGGAAUCAUUGGGUUUAAAGGGUCCGUAGGCGGUUUAAUAAGUCAGUGGUGAAAGCCCAUCGCUCAACGAUGGAACGGCCAUUGAUACUGUUAGACUUGAAUUACAAGGAAGUAACUAGAAUAUGUAGUGUAGCGGUGAAAUGCUUAGAUAUUACAUGGAAUACCAAUUGCGAAGGCAGGUUACUACUUGUGGAUUGACGCUGAUGGACGAAAGCGUGGGGAGCGAACAGGAUUAGAAACCCGUGUAGUCC
rnacentral:rRNA from 1 species